AGUAUCUAUACCAAAUCAAAUAAGUGCUGGAGAACGGGAGUUACUGGAGGAACUUGCAUCUCUGAAGGACACAUCCAGCAACCGGUCGCGAACUCGUGCUAAGCCUCAGCAACCCAGUACUCUGAGCACCGCACCUAGUAGCUCAGAAAACAGGAUAGAUGAAGUGAAGGAGGAAAAUCAAGAACCAGAGCAAGAAAACGACUUGUGGAAGAGCAUCAAAGACUUAGCAGGGUCUGUGGCAAAUGGAGCUCUGAAAUGGCUGAGAGAUAACCUAUAAGAGAUUCAUCUUCAACUAAAAAAGGACGUGGUUUAAAAGCUGCAUUCAUGGUAGGAAUGUGGCAAUGUUCAUUGUUUCAUUUGUUAAUCUGAGGGUCUUUUGCGGAAAAACAAAUACAAUAUUUUUUUUUGCCUUUCUCAGUUACAGUUUGAUGCACAUAUUGUGAGAAGAGAGGGCGGUUCUGCUCUACCUACCUCUAUAAUACUCCUUUCAAUAUACUGUAGACUGUAGUAGUACAGAGACAACCGGUUUUCCGAGUUGGUUUUGCUAUAAAAGAAAAAAUCAGUGAAAUUGAUGGAA